rnacentral:lncRNA from 1 species
ACUGGGUCUGCCCACGGUGUAAGUCUAUGAAUUUUUCAUGGCGCAAAGUCUGCUAUAAAUGCAAGAAAAUUUGUAUGCCAGCUGAGUUUGGAGGACAGCCUCACUGAUUCCAGAAGUUUUGCAGGAGGUGGACUCCUGAUGGCUGUUCCUGAUGGGAUGACACUCUUGAAGAAGAAGAAGAAGAAGAAGAAGAAGAAGAAGAAGAAGA